UACGUAGGGGGCUAGCGUUAUCCGGAAUUACUGGGCGUAAAGCGCGCGUAGGCGGCCGCCUAAGCGGAACCUCUAACCCCGGGGCUCAACCUCGGGCCGGGUUCCGGACUGGGCGGCUCGAGUGCGGUAGAGGAGAGCGGAAUUCCCGGUGUAGCGGUGGAAUGCGCAGAUAUCGGGAAGAACACCGAUGGCGAAGGCAGCUCUCUGGGCCGUCACUGACGCUGAGGCGCGAAAGCUGGGGGAGCGAACAGG
rnacentral:rRNA from 1 species